GUUUGACCUCAAAUCAGGUAAGAAUACCCGCUGAACUUAAGCAUAUCAAUAAGCGGAGGAAAAGAAACCAACAGGGAUUGCCUUAGUAGCGGCGAGUGAAGCGGCAAUAGCUCAAAUUUGAAAUCUGGCGCCUUCGGUGUCCGAGUUGUAAUUUGAAGAAGGUAUCUUAGGUUUUGGCUCUUGUCUAUGUUCCUUGGAACAGGACGUCACAGAGGGUGAGAAUCCCGUGCGAUGAGAUGACCAAUUCCAGUUAAGUUCCUUCGACGAGUCGAGUUGUUUGGGAAUGCAGCUCUAAGUGGGUGGUAAAUUCCAUCUAAAGCUAAAUAUUGGCGAGAGACCGAUAGCGAACAAGUACUGUGAAGGAAAGAUGAAAAGAACUUUGAAAAGAGAGUGAAAAAGUACGUGAAAUUGUUGAAAGGGAAGGGCUUGAGAUUAGACUUGGAAUUUUCCGUAAGGAGCUUUCUGGGCCAGCAUCAGUUUGGACGGCAGGAUAAUUGCGUAGGAAAGUAGCACUACUUCGGUGGUGUAUUAUAGACUGCGUCGAUACUGCCUGUCUAGACUGAGGACCGCGUCUUUGACUAGGAUGCUGGCGUAAUGAUCUUAAGCCGC
rnacentral:rRNA from 1 species